AUGUCUUCAUCACCAUCUCCCUGCUCCUCCCCCUUUCCUCUCCUCCUUCCUUCCCUCCCUCCUCCCAUUGUAAAUUCAGCAGAGCUAAUUGGACAUGACUGCCUUUAUGUUCCCGCUUCAUCAAUUUCUUUACUCUGAAGGAGGAGGAUCGAUUUUCCUGGGGUGCAGUGCAGUCUUCCGGAGCGUGCAUGAAUAACAUCAGAUGGAAACUCUCUCUGCUGUAACAUCUGAUGGAGCAUGGGACAUGCCAAAGGGACUGUGCUUUUAGGAAGUUCCCUGUCAUUCAGCGCUUUAAGUUUGGCAGUCUCCUCUCAAUCCAGCCCGUGAAGCCCUGACGGCCAUGGAAGGAAACCCUGUGUAUGACGGAGAGACAAAACUCCCAACAAUCCUUGUGGAUGAAUGUUCCACCCCAAUAUUAGCACACACACCAACCCCAAAGCUGCCUUUAGACAAGAAAUACCCUGGCCAAAUUGCUAAUGAUGCCACCACGAUAAUCAGUGACUCGAUUUGGUUAUGUGCGUGCGUUGCGGAAAGAUUUCAGUAAUUCUCAAUGCAAUACUGAAAGCAUGUGCACCUCUCUAUUUAUUUCUGUAAAUGUACAAAUGCUGAUCUGGGUCAUGUUCAUUAGGCUCUAAAUGGAGGAAACAGACUGAAAGAGGGAGGAACUACCUGGACUUGUCCAAUAAGAAACGCUCAUUUUCCAUUGCGUAAUAUUUUGAAAUGUUUUCCAUUGCAUGCCCUAAUGAACACCACCCUGGUCUACAGGGAUAGGUGAGCCUUGUUUUAGAUAAAUAUUGCAUGGACAAGCACUUGCGCUUUGCUGUGAGUGGCCUGAUGUAUAGCUCUUACCCAACACUGGGACCUUGAGUCUUUUGAUACAGAGAGGAAGGGGGUAUGAUAUAAAUGUGAUUUGUGUGUGUAUCUCUGCAUUUGAUGAUUUGAGACACUCAUUUCUUCAGCGAUUCUAAGAUUGUUUUGUUUUUGGUUUGAGUGUCCACGGAUGUUUUGGCCAAUUGUUUUCAGUUUUGUCACAUAAUGUGUCAAUGUCAUUAUUGCUUGUACGAUCGUCCAAGUCAUUAAAUAAUUAGUUAAUAA